rnacentral:rRNA from 1 species
GACGAACGCUGGCGGCGUGCUUAACACAUGCAAGUCGAACGGAAAGGCCCAGCUUGCUGGGUGCUCGAGUGGCGAACGGGUGAGUAACACGUGGGUGAUCUGCCUCUAACUUCGGGAUAAGCUUGGGAGACUGGGUCUAAUACCGGAUAGGACAAUCGUUUAGUGUCGGUUGUGGAAAGUUUUUUCGGUUAGGGAUGAGCCCGCGGCCUAUCAGCUUGUUGGUGGGGUAAUGGCCUACCAAGGCGUCGACGGGUAGCCGGCCUGAGAGGGUGGACGGCCACAUUGGGACUGAGAUACGGCCCAGACUCCUACGGGAGGCAGCAGUGGGGAAUAUUGCACAAUGGGCGCAAGCCUGAUGCAGCGACGCCGCGUGGGGGAUGACGGCCUUCGGGUUGUAAACCUCUUUCGACAGGGACGAAGCUUUGGUGACGGUACCUGUAUAAGAAGCACCGGCUAACUACGUG